GCAUGCCAUGUACUUUCAUUUCUCUGUGCCAUAUUUACCCUACAGCCUGGAAAAUACAGCCUGGAACAUUCUGUCUCAUUCUUUAAGAUUGUGAAUUCUGUGAAGACUAGGAUUCAAUCUUAUGAUUUUCACUUUCCAGCACACAACUUGAGAUACAUUGAAUUCUUAUUAAGAGCAUCAUGGAGCCAGUCUCAAACUCAUCUGACUUGUGUGCUUAAAAUUCCAAUCCCUUGUGAAAUGGCUGAGGAUGUUUAAAAUUGGAAGAAGCUUCAGUAGUAUGGCCUUCCAUGACCUCUUUUUCUGCCUCAUCUGACAUCUGUCGGAAUGAUGAUGUGAGGCUGGAGAGAGGAACAAGAGGAAGAUUGGCCCUGAGCUAACAUCUGUGCCCAUCUUCCUCUACUUUAUAUGUGGGACGCCUGCCACAGCAUGGCUUGAUGAGUGGUACGUAGGUCUGUUCCCGGGAUCUGAACCUGCAAACCCAGGCUGCUGAAGAAGCGGAGCACGUGAACUUAACCAUUACUUCACCAGGCCAGGCCUAUAAUACAUUUUCUUAAAAAAAAAUAAACAAACACAUGAGCUAUA
rnacentral:lncRNA from 1 species